rnacentral:rRNA from 1 species
UAACUUAGUGGCGAACGGGUGAGUAACGCGUGAGUAACCUGCCCUGGAGUGGGGGACAACAGUUGGAAACGACUGCUAAUACCGCAUAAGCCCACGGCCCGGCAUCGGGCUGCGGGAAAAGGAUUUAUUCGCUUCAGGAUGGACUCGCGUCCAAUUAGCUGGUUGGUGAGGUAACGGCCCACCAAGGCGACGAUUGGUAGCCGGACUGAGAGGUUGAACGGCCACAUUGGGACUGAGACACGGCCCAGACUCCUACGGGAGGCAGCAGUGGGGGAUAUUGCACAAUGGGGGAAACCCUGAUGCAGCGACGCCGCGUGGAGGAAGAAGGUUUUCGGAUUGUAAACUCCUGUCGUUAGGGACGAUAAUGACGGUACCUAACAAGAAAGCACCGGCUAACUACGUGCCAGCAGCCGCGGUAAAACGUAGGGUGCAAGCGUUGUCCGGAAUUACUGGGUGUAAAGGGAGCGCAGGCGGACCGGCAAGUUGGAAGUGAAAACUAUGGGCUCAACCCAUAAAUUGCUUUCAAAACUGCUGGCCUUGAGUAGUGCAGAGGUAGGUGGAAUUCCCGGUGUAGCGGUGGAAUGCGUAGAUAUCGGGAGGAACACCAGUGGCGAAGGC